rnacentral:lncRNA from 1 species
GGAUUUUUAGGCGUACUUGAAGCGGCGAUCGUGUUCCUUUCCUCGUUGCAUCCUUCAGUCUCCGCCAAGUUCCUGCUGGACCGAUGAGGCUCCGCCCAACUCGUCCCUCCUUCCGCGGUCGAACACCCACCCACCAAGAUCUCUGCAACCCCGACAGAACUUCAUUUCAUCGGUUGUGGAUCUCGGGACGCUGCACGUUGUUUUCCAUCACAAUCACGCAGAAAGGCGUCUGAAAUCGUACCGCUCUGAUUCUCCGCGCACCGAUCAGACGCCGCCAUUCCGUGGAGUUGGGAAGAGCGAAUCCCUGGGCUGCUGGAAAUGUUUACCGGGCAGGUUUGGAAAACCUCUGGAACUUGUGGGCAUUGGGAGCAGAUGGGGCAUGAAAUCUUCAAUGGAUAUCGUCCUUGUUCAGCUCCUUUGGAUGGGUUGACGGAGAAAGAGGAC